rnacentral:rRNA from 1 species
UUCGCAAUGCCCGAAAGGGUGACGAAGCGACGCCGCGUGAGGGAUUGAAGGCCUUCGGGUUGUAAACUCCUGUCGAGGGGGAGGAAGGGGCAACCUUGACCGAUCCCUGGGGGAAGCACGGGCUAAGUUCGUGCCAGCAGCCGCGGUAAGACGAACCGUGCGAACGUUAUUCGGAAUCACUGGGCUUAAAGCGCGUGUAGGCGGAGGGGAACGUCGGUGACUGAAAGCCCCCGGCUCAACCGGGGAAGGGGUGCCGAAACGACCCCUCUGGAGGGACGUAGGGGGACCUGGAACUUCCGGUGGAGCGGUGAAAUGCGUUGAGAUCGGAAGGAACGCCCGUGGCGAAAGCGAGGUCCUGGACGUCUGCUGACGCUGAGACGCGAAAGCUAGGGGAGCAAACGGGAUUAGAUACCCCGGUAGUCCUAGCCGUAAACGAUGGGCACUAAGUAGAGGGGUUUU